rnacentral:lncRNA from 1 species
AAUAUCUAAAUUGCUGUCCACUAUGUUCGUAGGCUUUUUUUUUUUUUUUUUUGGUAUUAUUUCAUCACAGAUUUGUGUGUGCUGUUUCAGAUCUGUGUUUUGAGGAUGCAUGUUGCUGGACUUUGUUCCUUUGCUUUCCAUUCCUUAAUUUUUAUACAAUUUCAAACACAUUUCUAACCUCCCACAAACUGAUAUUUCUCUUCCUCUGGCAGGUUACUAAGGUUAUCUUUCUUCUUGAGUUUGCCCAGACAACUCUUGGAGAAUAAUUUCUGCUCUAAUAUAUGUGCUUUUUUCUUCCUGCAAAUAUUUAAUGACUUCUGCUACUGCCUUGAGGACUGAAUUUUGAGAUUCUUCACGUUUUUUUUUGUUUGUUUGGUUGGUUGGUUGGUUUUUGUUAGUUUUUCUAGGUUUUUUUUUUUUUUUUUUAGGGCUAUUCACUUCUUUUAUAAAGUGUUCAACCACACAGAAGCAGUGGUUCCUAUGCAUGCAUACAUUUGUUUAUGUGUGUGUACAUUUUUAGAUGUGUGUUUAUAUAACUACUCAUGUACCUGCUCUUACAUUUAAAACAAUGCUAUUUACCUACAGGAGGAUGAAGAAGAAACAUAUGAGCAAACUCUAGAAUUCCGCAGAGGAGGUGAUGGUCAGCCAAGGCGGUCCACACGACCUACUCAGCAAUUUUAUCAACCCCCAAGAGCUAGAAACUGAUUAAUAAGAAUUAAACGUCUUCUUGGGUUGAGGGAAUAUUCACUGGCAGCUCCAACUUGAUGAAGACUUCUAGAAGAACUUCUGGCUUUUUCCAAGCAACAGGGUGGGACAAAGAAAGCUGAUAUGAGCAGAAGGAAUUGAACUUGAUACCACAAGAGACUUUUUAAAGUUCUUAGUUAAAUGAAGCUGAAUACUUUUUACAUAUGAAAGAAGCAAAUUGUCUUUGCUGCCACCAAUAAAACCACAGUGCACUAUUCUAUUCUUUGCCUUGCAUUCUUUUUACUGAGCAUCCAUUUUUUUAAAUUAACACAACCACUGGUGUGUUAUGAUUUUUAUUCAUUCUGAAUUGAUUUUGGUCUAAUUCUGUCUCUAUUAAAGUAGAGUAAAUGUCCUAUUUCUUAGAAGCAAACAGGAUUGGCUUCAAGUUUAGGCUUUAGGCUAGC